ensembl:processed_transcript
GAAGGGACAGUUCACCCAAAAAUGAAAAUAAUAGCAUCUUUGGCAUCCUCCACUUGUUUCAAAAUAGUUAUAUAUUUAUUUUGUUCCGUUGAACACAAACUCGUAUUUUUUUAAAGAAAUUAGGUUCAAAUAUGAAUGUCAAUAGUUACUGGUUACUAACAUUCUUCAAAAUAUCUGCUUUAGUGUUUAACAGAAAUUCAAACUAGUUUAAAACACGUGGAGUAAAUAGUGGCAAAAUAGUAAACUAUUCCUUCAAAUAUUUUAUUCUGAGACUUUUAUUUAUAUGUGUCUUGUCUUUUGUCAUAUUGUCCUUCUAGCCCAGAUAGUGAUGGACCUGGAAUGCGACACCAGUUACUCUCAAGACAAGAACCGAAUAAAGCACAGAUGUGGAGGGAUUUGCAGCCAAACUAACUGGAGGGAAGGAACCUUUAGUGUGGGUGAACAUACUACCUGGAUGUCCAACAAAGGCUGCACAAGCGCUCAUUUGAUAGCACAUAUUCUGUCCUGUCUACAUCUCUGAUGACCUGGAAGUGCUUCGACAUCAGAUCAUCAUUAUGCUGCUGCCCUUUUUCACUGUCCCUUUCCACAUCAUUUGGCCUUCAUCAUUUCCUGUCUUGUAGCAGUAUUUUCACCUGUUUUUAAAAUUGUAAUAAUUUUUGAUGCAUUAAUUGUUGACUGGUUUUAAUGAUCAAUUGUUUAUUAGUGUUCUGUUGCUCUGUUAUAUUGAAUAAUUGCUACUGUUUUAGCAUGGUUUACACAAUAAACCUUUAUUGUGAAGUUAAAGUUUCAGUUUCUUUAUUUUUCUUGUACAUCUUGAACAGUUAAAAUAACACUUGUGCAAUUUUUGAACAUUUUUACCCAUUAUAAAGUAGCACUAUUAAAUAAAAUAAAAUAACAUUUAAUAACUGUAAAAUACUAUACAGUAAUAAUGAAAGUAACG